AGAAUCAACGCUGGCGGCGUGCCUAACACAUGCAAGUCGAACGAGAAAGUGGUAGCAAUACCAUGAGUAAAGUGGCGCACGGGUGAGUAACACGUGACUAACCUACCCUUGAGUGGGGGAUAACUGAGGGAAACCUUAGCUAAUACCGCAUAAUACCCACGGGUCAAAGGAGCAAUUCGCUCGAGGAGGGGGUCGCGGCCGAUUAGUUAGUUGGCGGGGUAAUGGCCCACCAAGACGAUGAUCGGUAUCCGGCCUGAGAGGGCGCACGGACACACUGGAACUGAAACACGGUCCAGACUCCUACGGGAGGCAGCAGUGGGGAAUUUUGCGCAAUGGGGGAAACCCUGACGCAGCAACGCCGCGUGGAGGAUGAAGUCCUUCGGGACGUAAACUCCUUUCGAUCGGGACGAUUAUGACGGUACCGGAGAAGAAGCCCCGGCUAACUUCGUGCCAGCAGCCGC
rnacentral:rRNA from 1 species